ensembl:lncRNA
CUCUCUCCCCUCCUCUCUUUUCUCGCUCAGAUCUUUAUCUUCCAUCUUUCUAAUUUCUCUUUCCUCCCUCUUUUUCUCUCUUCUCUGAUCUUCUUUUCUUUCUUGUCUAUCUUGCUGAAAUCUCUCCUCAUUUUGCACCUCCUGAGUCCUAACAUGUCUGUUCUUCAUAAUUAAACAUUCUCAAUAAGCAGUGGGAGGGAGAGAGAGAUAAACAAUCUAUCACUCUCUCAGACUCAAUAAAAUCCCCCUCUUCCUAAAUCCCUACCCAUCUAUCUGUCCGUUAGUGUGUAUGCGUGUGUGUUAUCUCUUAGAUGAUGCAAGUCAAAUGAAAUGAGGGAAGGAUUGUUGUUAACCCUAAAAGAACCAUUGAACCCACAGUUUCAGCUGGAAUUCAAAAACUGAGAUUUAGCAUAAAUGUUCUGAGAGUUUAUGAAAGAAUGUUAUCCCCAUGGUUACGACCCACGCCAACUUUGUGAGAGUUUUCUAGUACCAUUGUUGUCUAUGAUGUUAAAACCACGUAUAUGAAAUGCGCCACACACCAUAGCAUUAUACAAUCAUGAUAUACAAACAAAUUACCACGUUUAAAACAAAGAACAUAUGGUUUUGGGUUUACUGGCUUUUUUAGUAACAAACUUCUAAGUGUCUAGGAUUAUGUUUGUGUGUGUGUGUGUGUGUGUGUGUGUGUGUGUGUGUGUGUGUGUGUGUGUGUGUGUGUGUGUGUGUGUGUGUGUGUGUGUGUGUGUGUGUGUGUGUGUGUGUGUGUGUGUGUGUAGGUGGCAGAGCUGUUUUGCGAGGUGCAGCAGCUAAGGGAGGACGUGAGGAGGAGGGAUCAAACCAUCGCACAGCUAACACAGCAACUGGUGGGUGUCGCUGUCUGUCUUUAGGUCUGUCUGUGUAUCUGUCUCUCUCUCUCCCCUCCUGCUCUCUGUCUCUCUCUCGCUCUCUCUCUCUCUUCUGUCUCUUUUUCCUGUCUAUCUCCUCUCUGUCACUGUUUAUCUCUCUCUCUCUUGUCUCUGUCUCUCUCUCCUGUCUCUAUCACUCUCUCUCUCCCCCUCCCUCCCCAAACAUAUUCGUUGGGGUUUGCAAUCUCAUUUUUUGCAAUCUCAUUUUUUGCAGCUAACACAGCAACUGACUGUUCCCGUGGCGACUAGCAGGUGUCACUGCCGGGAGACGGGGACGGAGAGGCGGACGGCCGGACAGACGCAGACGACGGUAGCGGACGGAGGGCGGGCAUGGCUGCACCAGGCCUCACAGACACCCUGGAGGGAACACAAUCCUCAGGUACUACCGUCCCAUAUCCAGCUGGACCAUCAGGGCCAACUGACCCGGACAGCCCCCGGCCUGGCCCGCCGGGCGCCCCCCCCCGCUGAACCCACCUCCCCCGUGGUACUCCAACACCGCCUGACUCUUUUAAGCAACGACACUCUGGAACAGCCCGCCACCCCCGCUCACGCUGGCCCCAGCCCGUCUCCUCCUCUUCCUCCUCCUCCUCCUCCUCCUCCUCCCAUGGACGGCGGAUGCGACGGCGGCAAUGCGUCGGAGAGGAGCGUGCAGGGAGAGGAGAGGGGGAGGGUUCUGAAAAGAGGAGUGAGCGUUACGAGGAGGGGGUCCGAGGAGGAGAAGGGCGAGGCCUUUGAGCCGACGCCGGAGGGGAGGAGGAGACACAAGCAGCCCGGGAAGGAGGAGAAAGGAGGCGCACGAGGAGGGCAAUCCCUCCUGCCGUCCUACAAACUGCGCCACCUCCCUCUCCUCACCUCCAAGAUCCCCCUCUCCUCCUCCUCCGCCGCUACGCUUACCCCAGCCGGCCCAGCGGUCUACCCCAGCAUGGCCAGCACCCCGCCGAGUCCCACCCGCACCCCCCAACCCCGGCCCAGGGCUCUCAGGCAGCCGUUGGCGCCCCACCAUGCAGACCACAGCGCUGCUUCUGGGGCCAAAGUCAGAGCCGCUCCCCCAUUGGCUGGCUCCUUGCACCUUCCCCAGCAAAAGAACCAAGGACCAAUCCUGUGAUCUUGUCCGUCUUUCAUGCCUGAUUGCCUCCCUGUUAGCGGGCCUGACCCUCCUAAACUGUUUGUCCCAGUCCUCUAGCUAACCGGUUAUGCUAUUCUUUGUCUUCAUUCUUUCUACAACCCACCUCCCCACCUAAACUCUCUGUUCCCCCCCACCCAUGGCAACUUCACAGUCAGCAUGGCCAACAACAACCAAUCCCGACAUAUGAGUUCAAACACUUAUCCACGCACUCAUAACUUCCAGACUCGACGGCUGCCACAGCAUCCUCUAUGGCUCACCUAACACAAACCUCCAUAAACUUCAGUACGUCCAGAAGCUCUCCGCACGCUCACCUCAACCCGCCGCCGAGAUCACCUCAGCCCAGUCCUCCACAACCUCCCCUGGCUCCCAUUUCAAUUUAGGAUUAAUUUCAAGGUACUACUCACCACCUAUAAAGUCCUAAAUAACCUGGCCCCUCCCUACCUCUCCGACCUCCUCCACCUCCACACUUCCACCCAUUGCCUCAGGUCUACGGACACACACACACACACUCAGAACCCCCAAGACCAAGCUCUGCACCUGGGGUUACAGGGCCUUCUCUCACACUCCCUCUGGAACUCCCUCCCCGACCACAACCGACCGGCCAAAACACUCCCUUCAGUUAAACCCUCAAAACCCACCUCUUUAAGAACGCUUUCACCACAGAACUUCCUUUCGUUCCCUCCCCUUUCCUCCUUUCUUAUCUUGUUUUACUUUUUAUUGAACCUUUAUUUAACCAGGUAAAAGUCUCAUUGUGAUUAAAAUCCCUUUUUCUUACUAAUAUACUUUCUUAUUGAAUGAUUUCUUUUUGGGUUCGCUCUGUAAAGCGUCUUUGAGACCCUAAAAACCGCUAUAUAAAUCGAAUGUAUUAUUAUUAUCAAUAUUAUAUAUCUAUGUGACUGUGGGUCCGACCCCUUGCUGCUAUACACAUGUACUCACAACGCUCAACCCUGAUUGGUCCGUCCGUCUGUCCGUCACUUGAACGACCAUGGAGGUAAUGUUGGGAGGAGCUCACACUGGGAGAAGCCACUGGAUUGUGGAAGGGGUUAUAAGCUUUGAGACGGAGGCAGGAACACAUCUUUGUAUGUAUAUAUCUGCAUCUGUACUUGUACGUGUUUCCAUGAGCUUUUGGAGUCACUUCUGUUUAUUAUUUAUAAUUCUGAAAAAGGCACCUUAACAUGAAGAAAUCCGAUCCCUGCUGUGUGUCCACCGAUCCGUACGAGGUCGGGAGAACACGCUCACACGGAAGUUGAAUUGCAUUCUGAAAUGCUGUCGAGAAAGAGCUUUUCUCCAUCUGUACAUCUAAUUUAAUGUUUGAUAAUACUUAUGGGUAUAACAAAUUGUAGCCUAUUUAAAAGUGUUGUUUCCUCAUCCAUUCAUUUUAAGUUAAAUUGUGUAAUUUAUAUUUUGUUUAUUUAUUUACAAUGUUGUGCUGUUAAGAAACUUGUUGAGAGAAGUGUUGCUUUUAAGCUUUUGAAAAGUUUGGUUUUGAUCAUCACAUUUAAUUAAAGAUACACUGUCCUAUUUGAACAAAUUGGUGUCACACCUACAAUCACCAUAAUCGUGUUCAUAAAAUCUCACCCAAAAUGCGAGUCUGACCAAAAGCAAUGUUAUGCAGUUGCGUACUACUGAAAGGUUAGCUCUUGCUAGUUAAAUAUGGUAAGGAGGGAGAACAGACAGGUAUGUCAUGCCAACACACCAGAUAAAAUCGUUUAAGUAACGAUGUGAAGCUCGAGGGUGUUAGGGGGGAUGAGGAUCCAUUGAUACCACUUGGUGAAAUACUUUAACAGUUUCAAAUGUUGUAUGGCUAUCCUUUUAACUGUAAUCGAUUUGUGAUUUCAAAACAGAAUCGUUUUUGGAGCUCAAACAAAAGGAGCUUAGCGAGCGUUGUGGUGUGAUUAAAGAACUGACCCUUAAUGUUUAAAUGUUUAUUAUGACGUAUAUGCAAUAAUUGUAUGGCUCAUUGCCUGCUACAGCCAUUAAACCUAUCCCUUCCUUUUUGAUCCGCAACUUCUCUGUCUUGUUUAAUAAAACUGUGCUGCUAGAAAUCCUUAAUUGUACUAAUAACUACGGCGUGUAUGUUUUUGUCCCCACACAAAUGCUGUUCAUCAAAAUAACUAUAUGCAAUAUCAAGUAUGGCUAACGCUACAAGUUCGGAGUGUCAGAAAGACAGUCAAGUGAUCACUAGGUUACCGGUUCAAUCCCCGUCCCUUCCAGUCCAUUAGUGGUUAUAAUCCAUAUCCACUCAAUCCACUUGUAUCUGUUCCUUUAGUUGACUGCAAUAUGCUUGCGAUGAGAUUUACAGCGGAUAUGGUUAACUGACAUUGAAACUAUAUAACAUGUAUGUUAUUAAUGUGGACGGUUUCUCUGGAGUUCAACUGUCAAUCGAUGGAAUUCUGUUAAGCUGCUGCUUCACAACAAGCAUGAUUUACCGAUAACGAUUAAAACACAAUUUCCUUCUGUUGAAAGCCACUGUGUUGGACUGUUGUUAUUUUUUGGCUGCAAAUUGUCAUAGCGUAUACACUGUCUAAAUUAUAAUAUAAUUUUUGUGUUCCAGCACGUCAAGAUCUGGUUAAUUUGGUUAAAAUCUGGUUCUGCAAGUAGGAACUGAUUUGGUUACCCAAUCGGGUUUGGCCUGUACAAUGUGGUUUUGUUCGAUAUAGGCUGGCUUGGUCCAGUCGUGUAUGUUUUGAUAGUCAAGAAUGUUCUGGAAUGAGUUUGGCUUAGAGAAGGGCAACUCUUCGAGGUUGAUCAUUAUUUUAAAGCAUGUGCUGCUUUUCUUUCCAUAAGCUUUUCAAAACCUUUUGUUGAGUUGAUCUUUUACAACCUUCCCAACUUGUUAUUUUAUUUUGUGAGUUUGCAAACAAGGUCUGAGAUUAAAAAUAAAUCCAUGUUGCGGUUCCCUCUCCUCUCCAUGUAGCAAUAAACAGCUGCAAUCCCACAACGUUAACAUUUUGCCAAAGGCAAUCUAUAAUAAAUUGAAUACAUUUUCGACAUUUGAUCACUCAACAUUCAUUAUUUUAUCAAUCCAAGUAAGGAAACAGGUGCAAUCAAAUGACUUGCACUUAAAAGGCAGGAAGCCAAACCAAGGCUUAAUGAUAGAGUUGGUGUAAAAGUUCUUAGACUAGAGGUAUUGGCAGGUCCCUCCUAACCAAUUGAGCAAAAUAAAAGACAUGCUGUGAAUUGUCUUGGAAGACUAUAUUGGCUAACCCACUUCGUCCCAAUAACAAAUAUCCAAUGUUUUUAAUGAUGUUUCAUUAUACAAUCAGUUAAGGUUUGCCUACGUUACGGCUACUGUUUGCGUUUGACCAAGAGGGUUUUAGCUGCCCUGGGAUCAGUUCUAUACUGAGAUUGGGCGAACACCUCUGGUCUUGAGUUUUAAGUCUCCCUUCUCCGCUUCCAUGUAAAGGACAUGGUAAACAUGUUUGAAGCUGAUUCAUGCUGAUUCGGUCAUUAGGAUUACAAAACAUGUGUGAAGGAGAGAUGCUUAGAAAUGUGAACAACUUUUCAAUAGACGCCGACUAGCAGAGAUUUUGUAAUGAAUUCCUCAUGUAUUUUUGGGUCAAAAAAUCUCUUGACAAUCUGUUCAUCAUAAACGUGGCCUCUACUUGUUAUGUAUAAAAGUCCUGCUUUCUGCAUCCGUGUGCAUUUGUGUCUUUGUGCAGAUGAGAAGAGAGAUGAGCUUUCAACCAUCUUUCUUUUGGGUUUCUUUUCAUUUUGUCCGUGUUUGUCUGCGCGUGUGUGUGUGUAAUCUACUUACUUCUUAUUUUUUGCUAAAGCAUCAAAGGCAAUCCUUGUUUAUUAGGGAGCAGGGGGGGGAGUUGAUGUCACUCUCUAAUUCUUCAGCUCUCUUGGAUGACCAACAUGUUUUCUCUAGGCAGUCGUACAGAUGCUCUCCUCUUCAUCCCCAUCACUGCCUGUGGAACAAUCCACAGGUUGGCCUUGUUAAAGAAGGAAGCCUAUAUAAGGUUUGGGGUUGGGGCUAGAGGGCUCAAUGUCUCCUCCCCUUACUGCUCCCUGCCGUCCGCCACAGUACGUGCAGCCACCAUGUAGCACGUUUCUGUCUAAGUCCUUCAAAGGAAGAUAAAAAAAAAAUGUAGACACACUUAUACACACAGUUAUAUCACCCAAUGCGGAUGCAGUCCAUUUUUAACCCACAUCACCUCCCGAGCUACACUAGUUGUCUGGUUGCCAUGGAAACACAGAGAUGGUAUUGAAAUUGUCUCUCUGCCUAGUGUAAGGUCUCUUGCCCGACUCUUUUGGUUACAGGGACAAAACACGCUAAAGUGGCUUCAACCACCUCUUGUGUUUGAAUGCCCUCCUCUCACAACCCUCCCUCUUACCUUCUCUCUUUGUCUCCUUCAUUUUGUGUGUGUGUCUCUAGCUCUCUGUCUCUCGGUUACACACACACACACACACACACACACACACACACACACACACACACACACACACACACACACACACACACACACACACACACACCAUAUACCUUUCUUUAUAUUAAUGCAAGUUUUUUGCGUUGGAUUUGGCACACGCGUGUGUAUUCACAUAGACUCUCAGGCCAACAAAGCCCUGUUGAGGCGUUUAGGGACAAAAACGGUAUCAAAGAAGAAUGCAGUAAUCUCCGAGCUUGGCGGGCGUAAAGCUUGGUCAAACAGAACCAUGCCGUCUUCUCUGUGUUCAGCCGAGCGCUAACAAGCUCAGUCAAUAUCUGGCGAGAAAAAGUCCUUGAUUUAACAAAUGAUCAACACAUCCACCGCCAAACACAUCAAGCGAUUAAUCGCGCUGUAACAGCAGAUCCAACCGGAUUUAACUGAAGAUCUUCUCACCA